UACGUAGGGUGCAAGCGUUGUCCGGAAUUAUUGGGCGUAACGAGCUCGUAGGCGGUCUGUCGCGUCUGCUGUGAAAACUCGGGGCUUAACCCCGGGCCUGCAGUGGGUACGGGCAGACUAGAGUGCGGUAGGGGAGACUGGAAUUCCUGGUGGAGCGGUGAAAUGCGUUGAUAUCAUCAGGAACACCGGUGGCGAAGGCGGCUCUCUGGAUCGUUACUGACGCUGAGGCACGAAAGCUAGGGGAGCAAACGGG
rnacentral:rRNA from 1 species